ACUUUUCUGGUCAUGCAACAUAUAUACUAAAGGGCAAAAAACCUAGGCGGCCAUUAAACUUUUCUCAAGAUCAUGUUUUGGCCAUCAAAUUAUUUUUUGUCAAUAAUUGACCACUAAACUAUUUAAUCAGUGAACCUGUGCCCAUUUCGUCGGUAAUGGCUCUUAAUUUCUGAAAUUAGCAUUCCACGUGGCAAACCACAGGGGCAAUUUUGUCCGUCAAUCCACUGACCGUUUACUUACAUUAAUGGCAUCAACUGGAAAGAAAAAAAGCGAUGGAAGCCAACUGAAGUAUCUGGUCUUGUGGAGGAAAAAAUAGGGACUCAAUUUCCAGCCCUAAAUUCUGUGUGAGAAAUCGAAGAAGCCAAAGAAUGUCGAGACGCUCUCCUAAACCCAUACCUAGAUGCUCUUGCGGAUUAACAGCAACGGUGAAGACCUCAUGGACAAAUUGGAACCCAGCAAGAAGAUUUGUGGUCUGCACUUUAGGAGCUAAAAGAGGACGCAGAGAUAACACUUCAGAGUUUACCGACUUCGACACAGCAUUAGACUCCCUCAACAGCUCCGUCAUUUUCCAUGUCGUCACCGACAUUCUCGCCUUCGUCCUCUAUAUGCACCAUCAAAUCCCUUCGUUUGCACACUAGCCUUAUCUGCUCUUUUUUUCUUUUUCCUUUUUCCCCCUUUCCCGUUUACAAUUGAAGAUUCUGCCAAAAUUUUUUUUUCAAAUUAUACAAUCCCCAACUACUGCAUUCGUUUGUACUUUCUCUCCAUAGUGUUUUGCAAGAUAUUAGCCUCGAAUUUGACGAAUUGCAGAAGGAGUACAAGGAUUUGGAAAUAGUACUAGCUUCGCAAGUUGAGAUGAAGGCAGCCUUAAGGAGAAAGCACGUUUCCAGAAAGAGAGAGGUGAAACAGGGUAUGAGAAGACUGGAAAAACUAAUCAACUCUGUCUCUAAUUUCAAGACUGCUCUUCAGCUCUUGAUCCCUCAGAUUCCACAAGUUGAGCGGCUAAUUCUGGUUCUUGGACCUAGUCCCUGAAGGCCCAUACAUCUCUAUGAACUCUGUUUGUCGAGCGGAACAAUUGUUUCCACUGAUUUUGUCAGAAUAAAAGUGGCUGACGGAAUCUGCAGAAAGGUUUUCCAUCCCUCUUUCCCUGUUAUCUCUGCGUCCUCUUUUAUAAUUUUCAGAGAUUGUAAGUAAACGGUUAGUGGAUUGACGGACAAAAUUACCCCUGUAGUUUGACACGUGGAAUGCUAAUUUCAGAAAUUAAGAGUCA